AAAGCUGCCCAUUCGUCUUGGCAAAAUUCCUCCAGGUCAUGCAAAGUCUUUGGUUGUCUUGCAUGAAUUGCAUUUUUGAGUUCUCACCAGAGUUGCUCGAUGAUAUUAAGGUCAGGACACUGAUGGCCACUCCAGAAUCUUCACCUUUUUCUGCCGUAACCACUGGAGGAUCAUCUUGGCCUUGUGCUUAGGGUCAUUGUCAUGCUGUAAAGUCCAAGAGCAUCCCAUGUGCAGAAGAAUGCAAAUUGUCUGCAGCAUGUUGUCAGAAAAUACUGGCAUUCAUCUUGCCAUCAAUUUUCACAAGAUUCCCCAUGUCUUUAGCGCUCACACCCCCUAAAACAUCAUUGAACCACCACUAUGCUUCACAGUGGGGAUGGUAUUCUUUUCACUUGCCUUGUUGACCCCUCUCCAAACAUAGGUUGUGACCAUAGAGCUCUAUUUUGGUCUCGUCACGCCAGAUUACAGUGUGC